rnacentral:ncRNA from 1 species
UCAUUACAACGGCUUCCUGACGUGAUGGGAUAAUCUUAAUGGAGCA